CCCUUAGAUGUUCUGGGCCGCACGCGCGCUACACUGAUGCAAUCAACGAGUUCUUCCUUGCCCGAUAGGGUUGGGUAAUCUUCUGAAAUUGCAUCGUGAUGGGGAUAGAUUAUUGCAAUUAUUAAUCUUCAACGAGGAAUUCCUAGUAAGCGCAAGUCAUCAGCUUGUGCUGAUUACGUCCCUGCCCUUUGUACACACCGCCCGUCGCACCUACCGAUUGAAUGGUCCGGUGAAAUCUCGGGACGGCGGCUUGGUCGCUUGCGUCCGACUGCUGAAACUUGAUUAAACCAUAUCAUUUAGAGGAAGGUGAAGUCGUAACA
rnacentral:rRNA from 1 species